UGGGGAAUUUUGCACAAUGGGGGAAACCCUGAUGCAGCAACGCCGCGUGAUUUAGAAUGCCUUCGGGUUGUAAAAAUCUUUUCUAUGGGAAGAAAAUGACAGUACCAUAGGAAUAAGGACCGGCUAAUUACGUGCCAGCAGCCGCGGUAAUACGUAAGGUCCGAGCGUUGUCCGGAAUCAUUGGGCGUUAAGGGUACGUAGGCGGGUAAGCAAGUUAGAAGUGAAAUCCUAUAGCUCAACUAUAGUAAGCUUUUAAAACUGCUCAUCUUGGGGUAUGGACGGGAAAGUGCAGUUCCUAGUGUAGCUGUGAAAUUCGCAGAUAUUAGGCGGAAGACCGGUGGCGAAGGCGACUUUCUGGCCAUAACCUGACGCUGUGCUACGAAAGCGUGAGUAGCAAACUGG
rnacentral:rRNA from 1 species